rnacentral:rRNA from 1 species
AGCAGCCGCGGUAAUUCCAGCUCCAAUAGCGUAUAUUAAAGUUGUUGCAGUUAAAAAGCUCGUAGUUGAAUUUCGGGACCAAUCUGCCGGUCGUGCCUCCGGUACGCACUGGUUUUAUUGGUUUCCCCUCUGACGAACCAUGAUGUCAUUAAUUUGGUGUCAUGGGGAAUCAGGACUGUUACUUUGAAAAAAUUUAGAGUGUUUAUAGCAGGCUCACGCUUGAAUACAUUAGCAUGGAAUAAUGAAAUAGGACGUUUGACCCUAUUUUGUUGGUUUCUAGGAUCGACGUAAUGAUUAAUAGGGAUAGUUGGGGGCAUUAGUAUUCAAUUGUCAGAGGUGAAAUUCUUGGAUUUAUUGAAGACUAACUACUGCGAAAGCAUUUGCCAAGGAUGUUUUCAUUAAUCAAGAACGAAAGUUAGGGGAUCGAAGACGAUCAGAUACCGUCGUAGUCUUAACCAUAAACUAUGCCGACUAGGGAUCGGAUGAUGUUAAUUUUUUAAUGACUCAUUCGGCGCCUUA